rnacentral:lncRNA from 1 species
CAGUUAUUUGAUGAUUUAUUUCGAUAAUAUAAAGAAUGACAGUUAACGAAUCUCAAGUUCAACCACUGAGGAUUGUUUGGCUUGAUGCAAUAACCUUAAACAGUUAAAGGAUUUUCCAGGAAGGUCUAUACACCACAAGCUGGAGUUUUUGGGGUGAUGAAAGAACUAUGAAUAUGUGAAUGGGAAUGAAACAGAAGGAAUUAAUAUGUUCU